rnacentral:rRNA from 1 species
GGCUCAGGAUGAACGCUAGCGGCAGGCUUAACACAUGCAAGGUCGAGGGGCAUCGGGAGUAGCAAUACUUGCCGGCGACCGGCGCAAGGGUGCGUAACGCGUGAGCAACAUGCCCGUAUCAGGGGGAUAAUCCAUGGAAACGUGGUCUAAUACCCCAUAGUAAUUAUGUAAGGCAUCUUAUAUAAUUUAAAGCUUUGGUGGAUACGGAUUGGCUCGCGUGACAUUAGCUGGAUGGUAAGGUAACGGCUUACCAUGGCUACGAUGUCUAGGGGUUCUGAGAGGAAGGUCCCCCACACUGGAACUGAGACACGGUCCAGACUCCUACGGGAGGCAGCAGUGAGGAAUAUUGGACAAUGGAUGGAAAUCUGAUCCAGCCAUGCCGCGUGCCAGGAAGACGGCCCUAUGGGUUGUAAACUGCUUUUGUAUGGGAGCAAUAAGGGCUACGUGUAGUCCGAUGAGAGUACCAUACGAAUAAGCACCGGCUAACUCCGUGCCAGCAGCCGC